AGUCAUAUGCUUGUCUCAAAGAUUAAGCCAUGCAUGUCUCAGUACAAGCCAAAUUAAGGUGAAACCGCGAAAGGCUCAUUAAAUCAGUUAUGGUUCCUUAGAUCGUACCCACAUUACUUGGAUAACUGUGGUAAUUCUAGAGCUAAUACAUGCAAAUAGAGCUCCGACCGGAGACGGAAGGAGCGCUUUUAUUAGAUCAAAACCAAUCGGCGGCGGGUCACACCGUCGUCGUACUCUUUGGUGACUCUGAAUAACUUAUUGCUGAUCGCAAGGUCAGCACCGGCGACGCAUCUUUCAAAUGUCUGCCUUAUCAACUGUCGAUGGUAGGUUCUGCGCCUACCAUGGUUGUAACGGGUAACGGGGAAUCAGGGUUCGAUUCCGGAGAGGGAGCCUGAGAAACGGCUACCACAUCCAAGGAAGGCAGCAGGCGCGCAAAUUACCCACUCCCGGCACGGGGAGGUAGUGACGAAAAAUAACGAUACGGAACUCAUCCGAGGCUCCGUAAUCGGAAUGAGUACACUCUAAACCCUUUAACGAGUAUCAAUUGGAGGGAAAGUCUGGUGCCAGCAGCCGCGGUAAUUCCAGCUCCAAUAGCGUAU
rnacentral:rRNA from 1 species